rnacentral:rRNA from 1 species
GGUUGCUUGCAAGGGCGUAUGGUGGAUGCCUUGGCAGACAGUACCGAUGAAGGACGUUUGAGGCUGCGAUAUGCCUCGGGGAGCCGCCAGCAGGGCUUUGAUCCGAGGAUUUCCGAAUGGGGGAACCCGCCGGCCGUCAUGGGCCGGCACCGCGUUCGCGCGGGGGGUACGCAGGGAAGUGAAACAUCUCAGUACCUGCAGGAAAGGAUGUUCCGUGAGUAGUGGCGAGCGAAAGCGGAUCAGGCCAAACCGCGCGCGUGUGACAGGCGCCAGCCGUUGCGCGCGUGGUGUUGAGGGAGCGUGUGUCCGGGUCCUGGCGGGCCCGGCCGGAGUGAUAAAACGGCGUGUGAGGCGAACCGGAUUGAAUGCCGGGCCGCAGAGGGUGAUGGCCCCGUAGCCGAACGCGCGUCGUCUCCGGAUCGUGUCUCCCAAGUAGCGCGGGACUCGUGGAAUCCCGUGUGAAUCCGCCCCGACCGUGGGGUAAGCCUAGAUAUACCUGUCUGACCGAUAGCGAACUAGUACCGUGAGGGAAAGGUGAAAAGCACCCCGGGAGGGGAGUGAAACAGUCUCUGAAACCGUGCGCUUACAAACCGUCGGAGCCUUUCGGGGUGACGGCGUGCCUAUCGAAAAAUGAGUCUGCGAGUCAGUGGCACGUGGCGAGCGUAACCCGUGUGGGGUACGCGUAGCGAAGGCGAGUCUCAAAAGGCGUUUGAGUCGCGUGUCCUGGACCCGAAGCGGGAUGAUCUAGCCCUGAGCAGGUUGAAGCGCGGGUAAGACCGCGUGGAGGACCGAACCCACCUGGGUUGAAAACCGGGGGGAUGACUUGGGGUUAGGGGUGAAAGGCCAAUCAAAUUCCGUGAUAGCUGGUUCUCUCCGAAAUGCAUUUAGGUGCAGCGUCGGGGAUUACGUCCGGGGGGUAGAGCUACUGGAUGCUUGAGGGCCCGUAUCGGGUACCGACAGCAGCCAAACUCCGAAUACCCGUGACGCGUAUCCCGGCAGUGAGUCGGCGGGGGAUAAGCUCCGUCGUCGAAAGGGAGACAGCCCAGAUCGUCGUCUAAGGUCCCCAAGCGCGUGCUAAGUGGGAAAGGAUGUGGAGUCGCAUAGACAGCCAGGAGGUUGGCUCAGAAGCAGCCACCCUUGAAAGAGUGCGUAACAGCUCACUGGUCUAGUGGUUCCGCGCCGACAAUGUAGCGGGGCUCAAGCACGCCACCGAAGACGCGGCAGCGUCCGUUUGGAUGCUGGGUAGGAGAGCGUCCCCAUCGGGGCGAAGCGGCGGCGCAAGCCUGCCGUGGACCGUUGGGGAGUGAGAAUGCAGACAUGAGUAGCGAGAGGCGGGUGCGAAUCCCGCCCGCUGGAUGACCAAGGGUUCCGGGGCCACGUUCGUCGUCCCCGGGUGAGUCGGGUCCUAAGGCGAGGCCGACAGGCGUAGUCGAAUGGAUGAACGGGCUGAUAUUCCCGUACCGGCAGCGAACCGAAACAACCGAGGCCUGGGGCGCUAACCUCCGGGUCCGUGCCGUCUCCCCUUUCGGGGGGUCGCGGCGCGGGCGCGUUGGGAUCCCCCCUCGUAGUAGGUCAGCGCAGGAGUGACGCAUCAGGGCAGCCGGCCGCGGAGGUGGUUUUCCGUGGUCAAGCGUUCGAGCCCGUCCCGCAGGCAAAUCCGCGGGGCGUCGGGGCGAGGCGUGAUGAUGGGGGCCUUACGGCCCGAAUCCGGUGAUCCGUGGUGCCGAGAAAAGCUUCGGCGUCAGGCGCGUUGCCGCCCGUACCCCAAACCGACACUGGUGGUCAGGUAGAGAAUACCAAAGCGAUCGAGCGAAUCCUGGUCAAGGAACUCGGCAAAUUGCUCCCGUGCCUUCGGCAUAAGGGAGACCCCCUGCGGUGAUGAGCGGCGGGGGGUGGCACAGGCCAGGGGGUAGCGACUGUUUACCAAAAACACAGGAGCGUGCGAAGGCGCAAGCCGCUGUAUACGCUCUGACGCCUGCCCGGUGCCGGAAGGUUAAGAGGAUCCGUCAGCUUUCUGCGAAGCGGUGAAUUCAAGCCCCGGUAAACGGCGGUGGUAACUAUAACCAUCCUAAGGUAGCGAAAUUCCUUGUCGGGUAAGUUCCGACCUGCACGAAUGGCGUAACGACUUCCCCACUGUCUCGACCAGGAGCUCGGCGAAAUUGCAGUACGAGUAAAGAUGCUCGUUAAGCGCAGAAGGACGAAAAGACCCCGGGACCUUUACUA